GACGAACGCUGGCGGCGUGCUUAACACAUGCAAGUCGAACGGUGAAGCGAGUGCUUGCACUCGUGGAUCAGUGGCGAACGGGUGAGUAACACGUGAGUAACCUGCCCAUCACUCUGGGAUAAGCACUGGAAACGGUGUCUAAUACUGGAUACGACCAACCCUUGCAUGGGGUGUUGGUGGAAAGAUUUAUCGGUGAUGGAUGGACUCGCGGCCUAUCAGCUUGUUGGCGGGGUAAUGGCCCACCAAGGCGACGACGGGUAGCCGGCCUGAGAGGGUGACCGGCCACACUGGGGCUGAGACACGGCCCAGACUCCUACGGGAGGCAGCAGUGGGGAAUAUUGCACAAUGGGCGAAAGCCUGAUGCAGCGACGCCGCGUGAGGGAUGACGGCCUUCGGGUUGUAAACCUCUUUCAGCAGGGAAGAAGCGAAAGUGACGGUACCUGCAGAAGAAGCACCGGCUAACUACGUG
rnacentral:rRNA from 1 species